rnacentral:rRNA from 1 species
ACGAACCGUCCAAACGUUAUUCGGAAUCACUGGGCUUAAAGGGUACGUAGGCGGCGCUGUCAGUCGGGUGUGAAAGCCCACGGCUCAACCGUGGAAUUGCGCCCGAUACUGCAGUGCUUGAGGGAGACAGAGGUAAGCGGAACUGAUGGUGUAGCGGUGAAAUGCGUAGAGAUCAGGAAGAACACCGGUGGCGAAAGCGCUCUGCUAGGCCGCAACUGACACUGAGGGACGAAAGCUAGGGGAGCGAAUGGGA